rnacentral:misc_RNA from 1 species
GUUUUUUUCCUUUUCAAUCAGAAAUCAGUAACUCCCUUUCAAUCUCCAUCAAUAUGGCCACAAAAAAUCUUUUGUACACAAACCCAAAACUUUGCCAGCAUCUUGCUGAUUACAAGCUUAGAUAUGGCUUUUGUGGCUAUAAAAAUUUCCCAAAAUCUCUCCAAAAUUGCCUCAAAACUACUCCAAAUGGAAGAACCAGUAUUUAUAAGUGGG